GGGCCCAUAGCUCAGCGGUCAGAGCAGCCGGCUCAUAACCGGCCGGUCCCUGGUUCGAAUCCAGGUGGGCCCACCA
rnacentral:tRNA from 1 species